AUUGAACGCUGGCGGCAGGCCUAACACAUGCAAGUCGAACGGUAACAGGAAGAAGCUUGCUUCUUUGCUGACGAGUGGCGGACGUGUGAGUAAUGUCUGGGAAACUGCCUGAUGGAGGGGGAUAACUACUGGAAACGGUAGCUAAUACCGCAUAACGUCGCAAGACCAAAGAGGGGGACCUUCGGGCCUCUUGCCAGCGACUGUGCCCAGAUGGGAUUAGCUAGUAGGUGGGGUAACGGCUCACCUAGGCGACGAUCCCUAGCUGGUCUGAGAGGAUGACCAGCCACACUGGAACUGAGACACGGUCCAGACUCCUACGGGAGGCAGCAGUGGGGAAUAUUGCACAAUGGGCGAAAGCCUGAUGCAGCCAUGCCGCGUGUAUGAAGAAGGCCUUCGGGUUGUAAAGUACUUUCAGCGGGGAGGAAGGAAGUAAAGUUAAUACCUUUGCUCAUUGACGUUACCCGAAGAAGAAGCACCGGCUAACUACGUG
rnacentral:rRNA from 1 species